rnacentral:rRNA from 1 species
AGAGUUUGAUCCUGGCUCAGGAUGAACGCUAGCGGCAGGCUUAACACAUGCAAGUCGAGGGGUAACAGGGAAAAGCUUGCUUUUUUGCUGACGACCGGCGCACGGGUGAGUAACGCGUAUACAAUUUACCUUAUACAGGAGGAUAGCCUUUAGAAAUGAAGAUUAAUACUCCAUGGCAUUAUGAUAUGGCAUCAUAUUAUAAUUAAAGAUUUAUCGGUAUAAGAUGAGUAUGCGUCCUAUUAGUUAGUUGGUAAGGUAAUGGCUUACCAAGACUUCGAUAGGUAGGGGUCCUGAGAGGGAGACCCCCCACACUGGUACUGAGACACGGACCAGACUCCUACGGGAGGCAGCAGUGAGGAAUAUUGGACAAUGGAGGCAACUCUGAUCCAGCCAUGCCGCGUGCAGGAAGACUGCCCUAUGGGUUGUAAACUGCUUUUAUAUAGGAAGAAACCCAACCACGUGUGGUUGGCUGACGGUACUGUAUGAAUAAGCACCGGCUAACUCCGUGCCAGCAGCCGCGGUAAUACGGAGGGUGCAAGCGUUAUCCGGAAUCAUUGGGUUUAAAGGGUCCGUAGGCGGGUAAUUAAGUCAGAGGUGAAAUCCCACAGCUUAACUGUGGAACUGCCUUAGAUACUGGUUAUCUUGAGUUUUAGUGAAGUAGAUAGAAUGUGUAGUGUAGCGGUGAAAUGCAUAGAUAUUACACAGAAUACCGAUUGCGAAGGCAGUCUACUAACUAACAACUGACGCUAAUGGACGAAAGCGUGGGGAGCGAACAGGAUUAGAUACCCUGGUAGUCCACGCCGUAAACGAUGGAUACUAGUUGUUGGGGUUUACCUCAGUGACUAAGCGAAAGUGAUAAGUAUCCCACCUGGGGAGUACGUUCGCAAGAAUGAAACUUAAAGGAAUUGAUGG